UACGUAGGGUGCGAGCGUUGUCCGGAAUUAUUGGGCGUAAAGAGCUCGUAGGCGGUGUGUCACGUCGGCCGUGAAAACCUGCAGCUUAACUGUGGGCGUGCGGUCGAUACGGGCAUCACUGGAGUUCGGCAGGGGAGACUGGAACUCCUGGUGUAGCGGUGAAAUGCGCAGAUAUCAGGAGGAACACCGGUGGCGAAAGCGGCGCGCUGGAUCCCUUCUGACGCUGAGGCGCGAAAGCCAGGGGAGCGAACGGG
rnacentral:rRNA from 1 species